CGGGAUACCCGAGGGAAACUUCGGUUAAUACGGUAUAAGACCACACUACCGCAUGGUAGAGGGGUAAAAGGGGCAACCUGGUAUGAGAUGGACUCGCGUCGCAUUAGCUAGUUGGUGAGGUAACGGCCCACCAAGGCGACGAUGCGUAGCCGACCUGAGAGGGUGAUCGGCCACAUUGGGACUGAGAUACGGCCCAGACUCCUACGGGAGGCAGUAGUGGGGAAUAUUGGGCAAUGGAGGAAACUCUGACCCAGCAAUGCCGCGUGAAUGAAGAAGGUCUUCGGAUUGUAAAGUUCUUUAGUCAGGGAAGAAGUCAAUGACGGUACCUGAAAAAUAAGCUCCGGCUAACUACGUGCCAGCAGCCGCGGUAAUACGUAGGGAGCAAGCGUUGUUCGGAAUGACUGGGCGUAAAGGGUGCGUAGGCGGUUGUACAAGUUAGAAGUGAAAUACCCAGGGCUUAACUCGGGUGCUGCUUCUAAAACUGUAUGACUUGAGUGCAGUAGAGGUUAGUGGAAUUCCUAGUGUAGCGGUGGAAUGCGUAGAUAUUAGGAGGAACACCAGAGGCGAAGGCGGCUAACUGGACUGCAACUGACGCUGAGGCACGAAAGUGUGGGGAGCAAACAGGAUUAGAUACCCUGGUAGUCCACACUGUAAACGAUGGAUACUAGAUGUAGGAGGUAUCGACUCCUUCUGCGUCGCAG
rnacentral:rRNA from 1 species